ACAGAUUGCGAGCUCUUUCUUGAUUCUGUGGGCGGUGGUGCAUGGCCAUACUUACGUGCGACCCCUGAUCGGUCGGCGGAUUGAACUUCUUAAAGGAACUAGCGGCGUUUAGCCGCACGAGAUUGAGCAAUAACAGGUCUGUGAUGCCCUUAGAUGUUCGGGGCCGCACGCGCGCUACACUGACCGGAUCAGCGUGUCUUUCCCUGGGCCGAAAGGUCCGGGUAAUCCGCUGAACCCCGGUCGUGCUUGGGAUAGAGAGUUGCAAUUGUCGCUCUUGAACGAGGAAUUCCCAGUAAGCGCGAGUCAUCAGCUCGCGUUGAUUACGUCCCUGCCCUUUGUAAAGGAAUGUCUAGUAAAUUUGGGUCAUUAAUAUUGUUUGAAUGCGUCCCUGCCCUUUGUAAAA
rnacentral:rRNA from 1 species